GCCCAGUAGUUACAGUGGAAAAAGUUAGUAAAAAUUAACAAAUAUUUUGAAAAUUGUUAUAAAUUGACUAUAAAGGGCAAUAACUCCUUAGGGGGUCAAUUGAUCAUUUUGGUCAUGUGGACUUAUUUUUAGGUCUUACUUUGCUGUACAUUAUUGCUGUUUACAGUUUAUCUCUUUCUAUAAUAAAAUUCAAGAUAAUAACCAAAAAGACAAGAUUUCCUUAAAAUUACCAAUUCAGGGGCAGCAACCUAAUAACGAUUGUCCGAUUCAUCUGAAAAUUUCAGGGCAGAUAGAUCUUGACCUAA
rnacentral:lncRNA from 1 species